rnacentral:tRNA from 1 species
GCAUCCGUAGCUCAAUUGGAUGGAGCUUCUGACUUCGGAUCAGAAGGUUGCAGGUUCAAGUCCUGCCGGAUGCACCA